rnacentral:rRNA from 1 species
CUACGGGGCGCUGCAGUGGGGAAUAUUGGACAAUGGGCGCAAGCCUGAUCCAGCAAUGCCGCGUGAGUGAAGACGGCCUUAGGGUUGUAAAACUCUUUCGCUAGGGAAGAUAAUGACUGUACCUAGUAAAGAAGUCCCGGCUAACUCCGUGCCAGCAGCCGCGGUAAUACGGAGGGGACUAGCGUUGUUCGGAAUUACUGGGCGUAAAGAGUUCGUAGGCAGACUGACAAGUUAGAGGUGAAAUCCCAGGGCUCAACCCUGGAACUGCCUUUAAAACUGUCAGUCUAGAGACCGGAAGAGGUUAGGGGAAUACCUAGUGUAGAGGUGAAAUUCGUAGAUAUUAGGUGGAACACCAGUGGCGAAGGCGCCUAACUGGUCCGGUACUGACGCUGAGGAACGAAAGCGUGGGGAGCAAACAGGAUUAGAUACCCUCGUAGUC